rnacentral:lncRNA from 1 species
UAACUUAGUCUCUAAAAUAUGUCUACUAGCUUUUUUAGUCUCUAAACAAUAUGUCUACCAAGUUUGUCUCUUAAAAAUUAUGUAGACCAAAAAGAGUUGAUGUGCUCCAUGUUAGUCCCCAUUCUACCAUAUUAGUUAACAUACUAACAACUAUUGAUGUAACACGUUAGGUGUUAUGUAGGAAUUAACUACCCAGCAA